rnacentral:rRNA from 1 species
GACGAACGCUGGCGGCGUGCUUAACACAUGCAAGUCGAACGAUGAAGCCGGAGCUUGCUCCGGUGGAUUAGUGGCGAACGGGUGAGUAACACGUGAGCAAUCUGCCCUUGACUCUGGGAUAACUGCGGGAAACUGUAGCUAAUACCGGAUACGACACCUUGGGGCAUCCCAGGGUGUGGAAAGAAUUUCGGUCAAGGAUGAGCUCGCGGCCUAUCAGCUAGUUGGUGAGGUAAUGGCUCACCAAGGCGACGACGGGUAGCCGGCCUGAGAGGGUAACCGGCCACUGUGGAACUGAGACACAGUCCAGACUCCUACGGGAGGCAGCAGUGGGGAAUAGUGCACAAUGGGCGAAAGCCUGAUGCAGCAACGCCGCGUGAGGGAUGAAGGACUUCGGGUAGUAAACCUCUUUUAGCAGGGAAGAAGCGAAAGUGACGGUACCUGCAGAAAAAGCACCGGCUAACUACGUGCCAGCAGCCGCCGUAA